AUUUAAAUAGUUUAAUUAAAAUAUUAAUUUGUGGAAUUAAUGAUAUAGAGAUUCUAUUUUAAAUA
rnacentral:tRNA from 1 species